GUCUCUGUGGCGCAAUCGGUUAGCACAAUCGGCUGUUAACUGAAAGGUUGGUGGUUCAAGCCCACCCAGGGACG
rnacentral:tRNA from 1 species